GACAGAGGGGGCAAGCGUUGCUCGGAAUCACUGGGCGUAAAGCGCACGUAGGCGGGUCCUUAAGUCAGGGGUGAAAUCCUGGAGCUCAACUCCAGAACUGCCUUUGAUACUGAGGAUCUCGAGUUCGGGAGAGGUGAGUGGAACUGCGAGUGUAGAGGUGAAAUUCGUAGAUAUUCGCAAGAACACCAGUGGCGAAGGCGGCGACCUGGACGGACAUUGACGCUGAGACGCGAAAGCGUGGGGAGCAAACAGG
rnacentral:rRNA from 1 species